rnacentral:rRNA from 1 species
AGAGUUUGAUCCUGGCUCAGGAUGAACGCUGGCGGCGUGCCUAACACAUGCAAGUCGAACGAUUAAGCCGGCUUCGGCCGGGCAUAGAGUGGCGAACGGGUGAGUAACACGUGACCAACCUGCCCCUUGCUCCGGGACAACCGCUGGAAACGGCGGCUAAUAUCGGAUACUCCGCGGCCCCCGCAUGGGGGCGGCGGGAAAGCCCCGACGGCGCGGGAUGGGGUCGCGGCCCAUUAGGUAGUUGGUGAGGUAACGGCCCACCAAGCCGACGAUCGGUAGCCGGACUGAGAGGUUGAACGGCCACAUUGGGACUGAGAUACGGCCCAGACUCCUACGGGAGGCAGCAGUGGGGAAUUUUGCGCAAUGGGGGAAACCCUGACGCAGCAACGCCGCGUGCGGGACGAAGGCCCUCGGGUUGUAAACCGCUUUCAGCAGGGAAGAUCCAAGACGGUACCUGCAGAAGAAGCUCCGGCUAACUACGUGCCAGCAGCCGCGGUAAUACGUAGGGGGCGAGCGUUAUCCGGAUUCAUUGGGCGUAAAGCGCGCGUAGGCGGCCGCCUAAGCGGGACCUCUAACCCCGGGGCUCAACCCCGGGCCGGGUCCCGGACUGGGCGGCUCGAGUGCGGUAGAGGAGAGCGGAAUUCCCGGUGUAGCGGUGGAAUGCGCAGAUAUCGGGAAGAACACCGAUGGCGAAGGCAGCUCUCUGGGCCGUCACUGACGCUGAGGCGCGAAAGCUGGGGGAGCGAACAGGAUUAGAUACCCUGGUAGUCCCAGCCGUAAACGAUGGGCGCUAGGUGUGGGGGGACGAUCCCUCCGUGCCGCAGCCAACGCAUUAAGCGCCCCGCCUGGGGAGUACGGCCGCAAGGCUAAAACUCAAAGGAAUUGACGGGGGCCCGCACAAGCAGCGGAGCAUGUGGCUUAAUUCGAAGCAACGCGAAGAACCUUACCAGGGCUUGACAUGCCGAUGAAGCCGGGGAGACCCGGUGGCCGAGAGGAGUCGGCGCAGGUGGUGCAUGGCUGUCGUCAGCUCGUGUCGUGAGAUGUUGGGUUAAGUCCCGCAACGAGCGCAACCCCCGCCCCGUGUUGCCAGCAUUCAGUUGGGGACUCGCGGGGGACUGCCGGCGUCAAGCCGGAGGAAGGUGGGGACGACGUCAAGUCAUCAUGCCCCUUAUGCCCUGGGCUGCACACGUGCUACAAUGGCCGGUACAGAGGGUUGCCACCCCGCGAGGGGGAGCGGAUCCCGGAAAGCCGGUCCCAGUUCGGAUCGCAGGCUGCAACCCGCCUGCGUGAAGCCGGAGUUGCUAGUAAUCGCGGAUCAGCACGCCGCGAUGAAUACGUUCCCGGGCCUUGCACUCAACGCCCGUCA